GACGAACGCUGGCGGCGUGCUUAACACAUGCAAGUCGAACGGAAAGGCCCCUUCGGGGGUACUCGAGUGGCGAACAGGUGAGUAACACGUGAGUAACCUGCCCUUGACUUCGGGAUAACUUCAGGAAACUGGGGCUAAUACCGGAUAGGAAUCCUUGCUGCAUGGUGGGGGUUGGAAAGCUUCGGCGGUUUUGGAUGGACUCGCGGCUUAUCAGCUUGUUGGUGGGGUAGUGGCUUACCAAGGCUUUGACGGGUAGACGGCCUGAGAGGGCGACCGGCCACAUUGGGACUGAGAUACGGCCCAGACUCCUACGGGAGGCAGCAGUGGGGAAUAUUGCACAAUGGGCGGAAGCCUGAUGCAGCAACGCCGCGUGCGGGAUGACGGCCUUCGGGUUGUAAACCGCUUUCAGCAGGGGCGAAGCUUGUGGUGACGGUACCUGCAGAAGAAGCACCGGCUAACUACGUG
rnacentral:rRNA from 1 species